UUCACUUUACAUGUUACGACGUACUCUGCUUUAUGCAAAACCAUAGGCCUAUGUAUUUUUAUUCUGUAUAUAUCUGUGUGUAUACGUCUGAAAAGUUCAAAACUAUUGAAAUGGUUUUGUUUUCUAAGGGUGGUAUGUGAUACAAUUCUCGCAGACAAAGAACUCAGCCCCCUGGUAUAGGCCUAGUAAAAUCAAAUCAAUUAGAGGAGACAGGGGAAACGAGGGAGGAGAAAGUCCAAGCACCUUAGACAGAUGGUGUCAUGUAUCAUAUGGAGAUAUUGAAUUUGAAAGUGCAUUUGCCAUUACAACAUUGGGGAUGGUCAACAUAGACAUUCAUGAUUGUGAAAGCCAUAAACACAAAUAAUGGAACCAUGUACUGUGCUGUUAAAGAAAAUAGACUAUCUAAGUAGACGUCCAGUGCAUUAUUUCAUUUAAUUCAAAAGUCAACAUUGUGUAAUUUUUUUCGUGGAUGACAUUGAUUAUUUGAUCUGAAUUUGCAAAAAUUGGAUUGAGUGGGAAUAAGUGCUGUGAUUUCAAAUGAAAGCCAUGAUAGACACAUUGCUUUUUCAUCCAGAUGUAAGUAAAAUCAUAAAUGCAUGUUUUCAAUUCAUAUAUUGAAAAUUCAGUUUAUUGGAAAUGACUGUGACUUGUGGGUAAUUGUUUUUUUUUAUUAUUAUUAUUUAUAAUUAAAAAACUUAUAUUAUUGAGAACAGUAUAAAUCUAUGGCUAAUUCUCUAAAUUUGAUGUGUUUUUUAUGCAUAUUAAAUCAAUAUAAAUU